CAGCAAGCCUGGCAAUGGCGCGCCCCUCCCCCAGCCUCGCUGCCGCCUUGCAGUUUGAUCUCAGACUGCUGUGCUAGCAAUCAGCGAGACUCCGUGGGCGUAGGACCCUGCGAGCCAGGUGCCGGAUAUAAUCUCGUGGUGCGCCGUUUUUUAAGCCCGUCGGAAAAGCGCAGUGUUCCGGUGAGAGUGACCCGAUUUUCCAGGUGCGUCCGUCACCCCUUUCUUUGACUCCGAAAGGGAACUCCCUGACCCCUUGCGCUUCCCAAGUGAGGCAAUGCCUCGCCCUGCUUCGGCUCGCGCACGGUGCGGGCACCCACUGGCCUGCGCCCACUGUCUGGCACUCCCUAGUGAGAUGAACCCGGUACCUCAGAUGGAAAUGCAGAAAUCACCGGUCUUCUGAGUCGCUCACGCUGGGAGCUGUAGACCGGAGCUGUUCCUAUUCGGCCAUCUUGGCUCCUCCCCCCCCCAUGUAAGUUUUCUCAAAUGCAAACAUUUUUGAACAAGUUAAUGCUGUAUUUAUUCAGAAAAAGAAUAAGUUGGAAUUGGGAAGAGAAAAGAGAGGUAAUGCAGAUGACGGAACAGAAAAGUGUGUUUUUGCAAUGCCUUGUUAGAAGACAAAAAGGAAACAAGUCAAUCCAGGUGAAUCCUGAACAUUUGUCUCCUGGAUCAGUGUGGAGAAACAGCCACUGUCAACGAGGGGCUGGCAGAACCAGGGCACGUGGCUUAGCCAUGACCUCACGUAUUCUCUCACGGUGUCAUUAGGGAUAGUACUCGGACUAAUAACCCUGAGCAUCCCAGAGGAGGUUGGCCAACAGCUCUGAGGCCCCCCACGGCAUGUGUGUAAGGAUGCAACAGUUUGUCUAAUGGCUAAAGGAGAGAAAGCAGAAUCAGGAGUGGAUAAUACAGCUGGCCUUUCAGAGAAGGAAACACAGAAGAAUCCUCGUGCACCAAUGGAUGAGGCAGACGUUAAAUCCGCAGCACACUCUUCUCAGGGGAGCCUUCCUAAAAAAAUCGGUCCCUGUUCUAUGGACUAUGAUCCCAAUCUCUUAAAAGAAGACGAUGAACUACACUCUCAGGGAGAUAGCCUGAUGGAUCAUUCUGUGAAAGGAAAAUCAACUGUUUGGAGAAUUGGAGAAGCUGAAGAUUAUUCACAGGACAUAUCUUACUUGGAGGAACUGGAGGAACACCGAUUUUCUGUUUGGCUGUCUUCAAGGACAUCCCUAGUCUCGUAUUUGGCAAUCUGCCCUUAUUCUCUGUCUGCUGCUUUCUGAAAAUAAAUGAAAAGACUGUUGUGACACUCUUGAAGGAAAACAAGAGGAUUUUUAUUUUUCACAAGCUUUGCUCAUGACUUCAGGACACUGGAUGAUGAGCUGUUUUUAAAACUAUCUGAUCAAUUGCUAUAUAAAUGGAAAUUAAUUUCUAAAUGUACUCAAAGAUUCUAGAAGAUGAAUUCAGACAUCUCAGCUACUAUUCGUCUAUGUGGCUCUUUACCAUUGGAGAAAGGCGGUGUUGCCUUCUGGCUUCGUAGGACUUGAGUUCAAAUUCUCACUGUGGCUUUUACCCCUGGGGGGAGUUCUAUUUUGAUUUGCUUUACACAGGGGUUAUUGCAGUUUCCCUUCAUUUUGAGAAUCCCCGACAUUCAGGAAUUUUUAAUUUCCUAAUUUAGUAUUAGAUGUUUCCAUUCAGAGCUAAUUUAGAAGGCAUUUAAGUAUUUCAUUCACUUCCUCACAUCAUAUUCUAAUCCUUUUUUUCCAUUUAAUUCAGAGUUCUCCUGAAUAACAUAUUGAGUGUUUUGUUUUGUUUUUACCAAGUAGGACCUAAUAAUUAAUGUUGCGGUUAUGAAGAAUAGUAUGGGAAAUGUAACAUUUCACAUAAAAACAGAUUUUCCCCGUGUUUCUGAAUGUAUUUGUGUGUGCGUUGUCUGUGAUUGCCUCCAGGCAGAUGCAAUCCUAGUGCUGUGAAUUGCUUCUGAACACAUACACACACACACAGUCACACACACUCAUACACACACAGAGCAGUUUUGCUGAGAAAUAUUUUGCUAGCAAAUCUCACAGCUAUCUCUCUAAAUGACACUUGCUGCCCAUAUGUGCAGUGUGCAUUUAAUAAUCAUUCUGUCACCUACGAAAC
rnacentral:lncRNA from 1 species